AACUUGUAAAGGAGCAACAAAUGUGAAAAUCUCUGUCAUCCGACCAGUCUGGUGGUAAAAAGGUCAAAAACUUGUAAAGGAGCAACAAAUGUGAAAAUCUCUGUCAUCAGACCAGUCUGGUGGUAAAAAGGUCAAAAACUUGUAAAGGAGCAACAAAUGUGAAAAUCUCUGUCAUCCGACCAGUCUGGUGGUAAAAAGGUCAAAAACUUGUAAAGGAGCAACAAAUGUGAAAAUCUCUGUCAUCCGACCAGUCUGGUGGUAAAAAGUCAAAAACUUGUAAAGGAGCAACAAAUGAAUAUAUGUACCAAGCUAAGAUUAACUGAUAGCUACAAAUAAAACAAAAUAUUACAACAUAGGUAAAAUAGACAGGAACCUUACAGCAGAGUAAAACAAAGAUAUUAUUACGCCAUAGGUAAAGAUGAUAGAAACCAGAAAACACAAUAAAACAAAGAAAAUAUAACAGCAAGUGCAAAGGUGACAGAAACCCAACAGAACAAUAAAAACAGAAUAUAUUACAGCAAAUUGUAAAUGUGACAGAAACUCAACAGAAAAAUAAAACAAAACAAAUAUUCCAGCAUAUGUAAAUGUGACAGAAACCCAACAACACAGCAAAGCUAGAAAAUAUUACAGCAUAGGUAAAUGUGACAGAAACACAACAACAGGGUAAAAAAAGGGAAUAUUACAGCAGAAGUAAAUGAGACAGAACCCAACAACACAGUAAAACAAAGACAAUAUUACAGCAUUGGUUAAUGUGACAGAAACCUAACAACACAGUAAAAACAAAGAAAAAUAUUACAGCAUAGGUAAAUGUGACAGAAACCUAACAACACAGUAAACCAAAGAAAAUAUUACAGCAUAGGUAAAUGAGACAGAAACCCAACAACACAGUAAAACAAAGAAAAUAUUGCAGCAUAGGUACAGGAGACAGAAACCCAACAACAUAGUCAUACAAAGAAAAUAUUACAUCAUAGGUAAAUGAGACAGGAAUCCAACAGCACAGUGAAACAAAAGAAAUAUUACAGCAUAGGUAAAAACAGAGACAGGAACCCAACAACACAGUAAAACAAAGAAAAAAUUACAGCAUAGGUAAAUGAGACAGUAAUCCAACAACACAGUCAAACAAAGAAAUUAUUACAACAUAGGUAAAUGAGACAGGAAACCAACAACACAGUAAAAUAAAGACAAUAUUACACCAUAGGCAAAUGAGACAGAAAUCAAACAACACAGUA